rnacentral:rRNA from 1 species
UAUUGCACAAUGGAGGAAACUCUGAUGCAGCGACGCCGCGUGAGUGAUGAAGUAUUUCGGUAUGUAAAGCUCUUUCAGCAGGGAAGAUAAUGACGGUACCUGCAUAAGAAGCCUCGGCUAACUACGUGCCAGCAGCCGCGGUAAUACGUAGGGGGCAAGCGUUAUCCGGAUUUACUGGGGGUAAAGGGACCGCAGGCGGCCAUGCAAGUCAGAAGUGAAAACCCACGGCUUAACUGUGGGACUGCUUUUGAAACUGUAAGGCUGGAUUCCAGGAGAGGUAAGCGGAAUUCCUAGUGUAGCGGUGAAAUGCUUAGAUAUUAGGAAGAACACCGGUGGCGAAGGCGGCUUACUGGACUGGCAAUGACGCUGAGGCUCGAAAGCGUGGGGAGCAAACAGG